rnacentral:rRNA from 1 species
GCCGGAAUUGCUAGUAAUGGCAGGUCAGCAUACUGCCGUGAAUACGUUCCCGGGCCUUGUACACACCGCCCGUCACACCAUGAGAGUUGGGGAUACCCAAGGCCCGUGAGCCAACUUUUAGAGGCAGCGGUCUAAGGUAGAAUCAAUGAUUGGGGUGAAGUCGUAACAAGGUAAC